UGGCUCAGUUGGUUGAGCAUGGUGCUUGGAACGCCAGGGUUGUUGGUUCGACUCCCAC
rnacentral:tRNA from 1 species